GCGCCCGUAGCUCAGUAGGAUAGAGCGCGAGAUUCCUAAUCUCGAGGUCGCAGGUUCGAUCCCUGCCGGGCGCGCCA
rnacentral:tRNA from 1 species